UGGGGAAUUUUGGACAAUGGGCGAAAGCCUGAUCCAGCAAUGCCGCGUGUGUGAAGAAGGCCUUCGGGUUGUAAAGCACUUUUGUCCGGAAAGAAAUCCUUGGCUCUAAUACAGUCGGGGGAUGACGGUACCGGAAGAAUAAGCACCGGCUAACUACGUGCCAGCAGCCGCGGUAAUACGUAGGGUGCAAGCGUUAAUCGGAACUACUGGGCGUAAAGCGUGCGCAGGCGGUUUGCUAAGACCGAUGUGAAAUCCCCGGGCUCAACCUGGGAACUGCAUUGGUGACUGGCAGGCUAGAGUAUGGCAGAGGGGGGUAGAAUUCCACGUGUAGCAGUGAAAUGCGUAGAGAUGUGGAGGAAUACCGAUGGCGAAGGCAGCCCCCUGGGCCAAUACUGACGCUCAUGCACGAAAGCGUGGGGGAGCAAAACAGGAUUAGAUACCCUGGUAGUCCACGCCCUAAACGAUGUCAACUAGUUGUUGGGGAUUCAUUUCCUUAGUAACGUAGCUAACGCGUGAAGUUGACCGCCUGGGGAGUACGGUCGCAAGAUUAAAACUCAAAUGAAUUGACGGGGUCAUAGCUGUUUCCU
rnacentral:rRNA from 1 species